rnacentral:lncRNA from 1 species
UUUUCCAGAUUUCUGAUCGCAUCUUGUUUUAAUUUUUAAAAAUAAUUGGCUCGUUGAAAAAUUGUGAAACCAAUUGCGUUCGAACCAGUAACGAGUCUAGUAUUUUUGAAAAUUGAUUUUUGAAUUUUUGGAAUCGUUUUGAUAUUUUUCCAGAUCCGUUUAGAUUUGUCUGUUUUUGGACUGUUUACUUGUUAGAUUUUCGAUUUUUCAGGUACAAUGGUGACAUCUGAAGACGAAGAGUCAUCCACCUCUAGCUUGGAG